CCUACGGGUGGCAGCAGUGAGGAAUAUUGGUCAAUGGUCGGGAGACUGAACCAGCCAAGCCGCGUGAGGGAGGAAGGUACAGAGUAUCGUACACCUCUUUUGUCAGGGAACAAAGACUGGGACGCGUCCCCGGAUGAGUGUACCUGAAGAAAAAGCAUCGGCCAACUCCGUGCCAGCAGCCGCGGUAAUACGGAGGAUGCGAGCGUUAUCCGGAUUUAUUGGGUUAAAGGGGUGGGCGGGCGGUCUGUUCAGUCAGCGGUCAAAGCCCGGGGCUCAACCCCGGCCCGCCGUUGAAACUGGCAGUCGAGAGUUGGAGAGAAGUAUGCGGAAUGCGCGGGGUAGCGGUGAAAUGCAUAGAUAUCGCGCAGAACUCCGAUUGCGAAGGCAGCAUGCCGGCUCCACACUGACGCUGAGGCACGAAAGCGUGGGUAUCGAACAGGAUUAGAUACCCGUGUAGUC
rnacentral:rRNA from 1 species